rnacentral:rRNA from 1 species
UACGUAGGGUGCGAGCGUUAAUCGGAAUUACUGGGCGUAAAGCGUGCGCAGGCGGUUCUCCAAGUCCGUUGUGAAAGCCCCGGGCUCAACCUGGGAAUGGCAGUGGAAACUAGGGGACCGGAAUCUGGCAGAGGGGGGUGGAAUGCCGCGUGUAGCAGUGAAAUGCGUAGAGAUGCGGCGGAACACCGAUGGCGAAGGCAGCCCCCUGGGCUGAGAUUGACGCUCAGGCACGAAAGCGUGGGGAGCAAACAGG